rnacentral:piRNA from 1 species
UCAUCUUGUUUGCUAAUUUAA